AACGCACGAGACCUGCGGACCUGCGGAGGGAUCAUUAAAAAGAUCGACCCAAAAUAUGGACGAUCAAAUCCAUAUCCACCUUGUGUGCACUUAUUGACCGUUCGCUUUGGCAGGAGUUGUCUUCGAUCCGGCGCAACCCUUAAAAUUUUAUUAGGGGGGGUUAGGGAUCGAAGCGGUGAGGGGGGAAUAGUCCACCUCGGCCUGCCAGAGUUUUUCCAAUAUCCACACUUUUUUAAACCC
rnacentral:misc_RNA from 1 species